rnacentral:rRNA from 1 species
CUCAGAUUGAACGCGGCGGAAUGCUUUACACAUGCAAGUCGAACGGCAGCACGGGAGCUUGCUCCUGGUGGCGAGUGGCGAACGGGUGAGUAAUGCGUCGGAACGUACCGAGUAAUGGGGGAUAACGCACCGAAAGGUGUGCUAAUACCGCAUACGCCCUGAGGGGGAAAGUGGGGGAUCGCAAGACCUCACGUUAUUCGAGCGGCCGACGUCUGAUUAGCUAGUUGGUGAGGUAAUGGCUCACCAAGGCGACGAUCAGUAGCGGGUCUGAGAGGAUGAUCCGCCACACUGGAACUGAGACACGGCCCAGACUCCUACGGGAGGCAGCAGUGGGGAAUAUUGGGCAAUGGGCGAAAGCCUGAUCCAGCCAUGCCGCGUGUGUGAAGAAGGUCUUCGGAUUGUAAAGCACUUUAAGUUGGGAGGAAGGGCAUUAACCUAAUACGUUGGUGUCUUGACGUUACCGACAGAAUAAGCACCGGCUAACUCUGUGCCAGCAGCCGCGGUAAUACAGAGGGUGCAAGCGUUAAUCGGAAUUACUGGGCGUAAAGCGCGCGUAGGUGGUUCGUUAAGUUGGAUGUGAAAUCCCCGGGCUCAACCUGGGAACUGCAUUCGAUACUGCUCGACUAGAGUAUGGAAGAGGGAAGGGGAAUUCCGGGUGUAGCGGUGAAAAUGCGUAGAUAUCCGGAGGAACACCAGUGGCGAAGGCGCCUUCCUGGGCCAAUACUGACGCUGAGGCGCGAAAGCGUGGGGAGCAAACAGGAUUAGAUACCCUGGUAGUCCACGCCCUAAACGAUGUCGAUUAGCCGUUGGGAUCAUUUAAGGUCUUGGUGGCGCAGCUAACGCGAUAAAUCGACCGCCUGGGGAGUACGGCCGCAAGGUUAAAACUCAAAGGAAUG